CUCAGGGAGGUAGUGACAAGAAAUAACAACACUGGAAAUUUUAUUUCUAGUGAUUGGAAUGAUGGGAAUUUAAACCCCUUUCAGAGUAACAAUUGGAGGGCAAGUCUGGUGCCAGCAGCCGCGGUAAUUCCAGCUCCAAUAGCGUAUAUUAAAGUUGUUGCAGUUAAAAAGCUCGUAGUUGGAUGUCUGCUGGAAGCAAUCAGUCCGCCCUAUUUGUAGGGUGUGCACUUGAUGAAUUCUGGCAUCUAUGUCCUAAUGUGAUAGGUACGGCGGUGUAUAUGGGUUAAUCCUAUAUACCCGUUUGUAUAUUAUAUUGGGAUAAUACCGUUACUUUGAGAAAAUUAGAGUGUUUGAAGCAGGCUAAUUGCCUUGAAUACUGCAGCAUGGAAUAACAAUAUAGGAUUUCGGUUCUAUUUUGUUGGUUUCUAGGACUGAAAUAAUGAUUAAUAGGGACAGUUGGGGGCAUUCGUAUUUAACUGUCAGAGGUGAAAUCCUUAGAUUUGUUAAAGACGAACUACUGCGAAAGCAUUUGCCAAAGAUGUUUUCAUUAAUCAAGAACGAAAGUUAGGGGCUCGAAGACGAUCAGAUACCGUCGUAGUCUUAACCAUAAACUAUGCCGACUAGAGAUAGGAAAAUGUCAUUUUUCUGACUU
rnacentral:rRNA from 1 species